rnacentral:rRNA from 1 species
UACGGAGGGAGCUAGCGUUGUUCGGAAUUACUGGGCGUAAAGCGCGCGUAGGCGGCUAUUCAAGUCAGAGGUGAAAUCCCGGAGCUCAACUCCGGAACUGCCUUUGAAACUAGAUAGCUAGAAUCUUGGAGAGGUGAGUGGAAUUCCGAGUGUAGAGGUGAAAUUCGUAGAUAUUCGGAAGAACACCAGUGGCGAAGGCGACUCACUGGACAAGUAUUGACGCUGAGGUGCGAAAGCGUGGGGAGCAAACAGG